rnacentral:tRNA from 1 species
GCCCUCGUGGCGGAAUUGGUAGACGCAGCGGACUUAAAAUCCGUGGGUUUGUGACCUUGGGAGUUCAAGUCUCCCCGUGGGCACCA